rnacentral:ribozyme from 1 species
GUCGCUCGAAACUUUGCACACCUCUACGUGGUGGGCGGCAGGCAACACAGUAUGGGUGCUGUGGCUGAGAUGCAGAG